rnacentral:misc_RNA from 1 species
CUGAGUACUACACUCUCUACCCUUUGUGAACUAUUAUACCUGUUGCUUCGGCGGCGCCCGCAAGGGUGCCCGCCGGUCUCAUCAGAAUCCCUGUUUUCGAACCCGACGAUACUUCUGAGUGUUCUUAGCGAACUGUCA